rnacentral:rRNA from 1 species
GACGAACGCUGGCGGCGUGCUUAACACAUGCAAGUCGAGCGGAAAGGCCCUUCGGGGUACUCGAGCGGCGAACGGGUGAGUAACACGUGAGUAACCUGCCCCAGACUUUGGGAUAACCCUCGGAAACGGGGGCUAAUACCGGAUACGACACAGCUUCGCAUGGGGUCUGUGUGGAAAGUUUUUCGGUUUGGGAUGGGCUCGCGGCCUAUCAGCUUGUUGGUGGGGUGAUGGCCUACCAAGGCGACGACGGGUAGCCGGCCUGAGGGGGCGACCGGCCACACGGGGACUGAGACACGGCCCAGACUCCUACGGGAGGCAGCAGGGGGGAGUAUUGCACAGUCGGGGGAAGCCUGAUGCAGCGGCGCCGCGUGAGGAAUGACGGCCUUCGGGUUGUAAACCUCUUUCGGCAGGGACGAAGCGUAAGUGACGGUACCUGCAGAAGAAGCGCCGGCCAACUACGUG